rnacentral:rRNA from 1 species
UACGUAGGGUGCAAGCGUUGUCCGGAAUUAUUGGGCGUAAAGGGCUCGUAGGCGGUUUGUCGCGUCGGGAGUGAAAUCCACUGGCUUAACUGGUGGCUUGCUUUCGAUACGGGCAGACUGGAGGCAUGCAGGGGAGAACGGAAUUCCUGGUGUAGCGGUGAAAUGCGCAGAUAUCAGGAAGAACACCCGUGGCGAAGGCGGCUCUCUGGGACGGUACUGACGCUGAGACGCGAAAGCGUGGGGAGCGAACAGG